rnacentral:rRNA from 1 species
UACGUAGGGGGCAAGCGUUGUCCGGAAUCAUUGGGCGUAAAGCGCGUGUAGGCGGUCCGGUAAGUCCGCUGUGAAAGUCGGGGGCUUAACCCUCGGAUGCCGGUGGAUACUGUCGGGCUUGAGUACGGAAGAGGCGAGUGGAAUUCCUGGUGUAGCGGUGAAAUGCGCAGAUAUCAGGAGGAUCACCAAUUGCGAAGGCAGCUCGCUGGGACGUUACUGACGCUGAGACGCGAAAGCGUGGGGAGCAAACAGG